rnacentral:lncRNA from 1 species
UAAAUACAGAAGAGGAACAAGCCUAGGAGGGGCAUCCGUUUUCUCGGAGAACAAAAACCGCUCUGAGUUUAUCACGUCCAUUUGACAAAUGGGGAAAAAAAAAAACAGCACGGAGUUUUAGAUGAUGAUGAAAACCCCAUAUACUUUCUCUUUAGCUUGUAAAGAGGGAACAGAGAAGGGUAGACAUGCUGAGGGACUGGAGGCUGGCACCUCGUCUGAACUCAGUGGCCCUCAGAGGGGCCUGGAUGGUCAUGGAAGUCAUUCUCAGGGGGUGGCUGAGCACUGCUGGAGGAGACUGCUGAGCUUAGGAAUAAACAGACCCACAGCUCAUUAUCCUUCAAGUCGCAGCUUAGCCGCUUCAUGGAGGUCUGCCUGCUUUAUCAUUUUCAAGCGCACAGAACUGAGCCACAGCACGCUGUCAUCACAAGAAGUCUUUCUCUUCCUGUCCCGUCUCCUUCCUCUUCUUCCCCAUGAAUACCAUUCCAAGUUUGCCUUCAACAUGAGUGUAGUGUUCAGAAACAUAGAAUGGGCCGAAAGAUGGCUCAGUGGUUAAAGCCACUUGCUGCCAAACCUGACAACUUGAGUUCAAUCCCUAGGAACCACGUGUUAGAUAAGGGGUGGGGGAG